rnacentral:rRNA from 1 species
ACGAGGUUCAGUCGGUGGUAACACCGACGAAGAUCUAGUGGCGAACGGGUGCGUAACACGUGAGCAACCUGCCCCGAAGACCGGGAUAACAGUGGGAAACCGCUGCUAAUACCGGAUGUCCCCACGAAUUCGCAUGGAUAUGUGAGGAAAUGGAUUCCGCUUCGGGAGGGGCUCGCGGCCUAUCAGCUUGUUGGUGAGGUAACGGCUCACCAAGGCUUCGACGGGUAGCUGGUCUGAGAGGACGAUCAGCCACACUGGGACUGAGACACGGCCCAGACUCCUACGGGAGGCAGCAGUAGGGAAUCUUGCGCAAUGGGCGAAAGCCUGACGCAGCAACGCCGCGUGGGGGAUGAAGGCCUUCGGGUUGUAAACUCCUUUUAGUGGGAACGAAAUUGACGGUACCCACAGAAAAAGCCCCGGCUAACUACGUGCCAGCAGCCGCGGUGAUACGUAGGGGGCGAGCGUUGUCCGGAUUUACUGGGCGUAAAGAGCUCGUAGGCGGUUUAGUAAGUCGGGUGUGAAACCUCUAGGCUUAACCUAGAGACGCCACUCG